rnacentral:sRNA from 1 species
UCAGUGCUGGAAAUGACUACAACUUGCU